AUUUGAGUGCCUUAUUGGAAUGAUGUUGAGUCCACAUGUUCAGACAGACAGGAAGUGGCUGAUUAAAUCACCUUUAUUAAAAGAUACAAGAUGCUGGAAUACCAACACUUUAGAAUGCAGAAGUACUUUACACACAGGCCCAGGCUUGUGUCCAACAUGGCCCCUUAUUCACUAUAUAGUGCACUACUUUACACACAGGCCCAGGCUUGUGUCCAAUAUGGCCCCUUAUUCACUAUAUAGUGCACUACUUUACACACAGGCCCAGGCUUGUGUCCAAUAUGGCCCCUUAUUCACUAUAUAGUGCACUACUUUACACACAGGCCCAGGCUUGUGUCCAAUAUGGCCCCUUAUUCACUAUAUAGUGCACUACUUUACACACAGGCCCAGGCUUGUGUCCAAUAUGGCCCCUUAUUCACUAUAUAGUGCACUACUUUACACACAGGCCCAGGCUUGUGCCCAACCAAACUCACAUAGAGGCUGUAUCCAAUAUGGCCCCUUAUUCACCAUGUAGUGCACUACUUUAGACCAGAGCCCUAUUCCCUAUAUAGGGCACUACUUUAGACCAAAGCCCUAUUCCAUAUAUAGUGCACUACUUUAGACCAGAGCCCUAUUCCCUAUAUAGUGCACUACUUUAGACCAGAGCCUAAUUCCAUAUAUAGUGCACUACUUUAGACCAGAGCCCUAUUCCCUAGAUAGUGCACUACCUUUAACUACAGCAUUAUUCCAUAUAUAGUGCACUACUUUAGACCAGAGCCCUAUUCCCUAUAUAGUGCACAACAUUAUACUACAGCCCUAUUCCCUAUAUAGUGCACUACUUUAUACUACAGCCCUAUUCCCUAUAUAGUGCACUACUUUUAACCAGAGCCCUGAAUAGACCAGACACCUAAUCAUCUAUAUACAUCUUAAUCUAGCAUUGUGUUUCUCCUAUUAAUCACCCUGUGAAUGACUCUCUAUGGGUCCAGGUUAACACACUAUAAAGGGAACAGAAUGACUCUCUAUGGGUCCAGGUUAACACACUAUAAAGGGGAACAGAAUGACUCUCUAUGGGUCCAGGUUAACACUCUAUAAAGGGGAACAGAAUGGCUCUCUAUGGGUCCAGGUUAACACUCUAUAAGGGGAACAGAAUGACUCUCUAUGGGUCCAGGUUAACACUCUAUAAAGGGAACAGAAUGACUCUCUAUGGGUCCAGGUUAACACUCUAUAAGGGGAACAGAAUGACUCUCUAUUGGUCCAGGUUAACACUCUAUAAGGGGAACAGAAUGACUCUCUAUGGGUCCAGGUUAACACAUUAUAAAGUGAAUAAGAGUCCAUUUGGAACACAGCCACAGUAGUAAUAACAAAGGUAUUUUUUGAUCAAAAUCCCUGUAAAUAUCUGCGGUAUCCUUGCCAACCCAUUUCAAUCUGCAGGUUGUUUUUUUCUUUUCAAAAUCACAACGUGACAGUAAACCAGUCUUUAAAGAAAAAAGAGAUCUGAAACCAUGCAACACUCAACAAGCCCACGUUACAGUUACUUCUGGGUUCGCCACCGUUUUGAAUGGCAUCAUCAAUAUCAUCAUCAUCAUCAUCAUCAUCAUCAUCAUCAUCAUCAAUAUCAUGAUCAUCGUCAUCAAUAUCAUGAUCAUCAUCAUCAAUAUCAUCAUCAUCAUCAUCAAUAUCAUGAUCAUCAUCAUCAAUAUCAUCAUCAUCAAUAUCAUGAUCAUCGUCAUCAAUAUCAUGAUCAUCAUCAUCAAUAUCAUCAUCAUCAUCAUCAAUAUCAUGAUCAUCAUCAUCAAUAUUAUCAUCAUCAAUAUCAUGAUCAUUAUCAAUAUCAUGAUCAUCAUCAACAAUAUCAUGAUCAUCAUCAAUAUCAUCAUCAUCAAUAUCAUGAUCAUCAUCAAUAUCAUGAUCAUCAUCAUCAUCAUCAAUAUCAUCAUCAUCAUCAUCAAUAUCAUCAUCAUCAACACUUACAACACCAUAAGACUUCACACAACAGUGACAAGGACGUUUUGACGUUUUUUUGGGGGGGGGAGACAGAAUCGAUCAAAUCUCGAAGACCUCAUCCACUGAGUUUCCAUGACAGGACAAAACGGGUCACGUCGUAGAUAGAACGGGGUUCUCUUCUGUUUCAUUAGUUCGUUACCCGAGUCCAUCGCUGCCUUUAGGCCUCAUGCUUGGUGUUAAAGGGGGACAGUGACGAGCAACAGAUAUACACUACACUUCAGCAAACUAACCACUGGCACCAAACACUAACCUGCUGCUCCCAGAUCAGUGUCUAACCUCCGUGUUGGCACCAAACACUAACCUGCAGCUCCCAGAUCAGUGUCUA
ensembl:lncRNA